rnacentral:rRNA from 1 species
UGGCCUACGGGGGGCAGCAGUGGGGGAUAUUGCACAAUGGAGGGAACUCUGAUGCAGCGACGCCGCGUGAGGGAAGAAGGCUUUCGGGUUGUAAACUUCUUUUCUCAGGGACGAAGAAAGUGACGGUACCUGAGGAAUAAGCCACGGCUAACUACGUGCCAGCAGCCGCGGUAAUACGUAGGUGGCAAGCGUUAUCCGGAUUUAUUGGGUGUAAAGGGCGUGUAGGCGGGAGCGCAAGUCAGAUGUGAAAACUCAGGGCUCAACCCUGAGCCUGCAUUUGAAACUGUGUUUCUUG